rnacentral:rRNA from 1 species
CGCAGCCCGAGUGGUGGUCAUUAUUAUUGAGCCUAAAGCGUCCGUAGCCGGACUCGUAAAUCCUUGGGUAAAUCGGGCAGCUCAACUGUCCGAAUUCCGAGGAGACUGCGAGUCUUGGGACCGGGAGAGGUUAGAGGUACUCCAGGGGUAAGGGCUAAAUCUUGUAAUCCUUGGGGGACCACCAGUGGCGAAGGCGUCUAACUAGAACGGAUCCGACGGUAAGGGACGAAACCCUGGGGCGCAAACGG